rnacentral:lncRNA from 1 species
AGAAAGCUGAAUUUCCCUUUCGAUCGAGCCGGUGGCUCUGUGGCACUACUGGGCUCCUGCAAUGGUCUGGUAUUUGCAUUUGUGUUCAAUCGCAAGGUUUUCUAUGUCUUUAACCCAUUAACUGGAUUCGUGAAGGAGUUACCUAGCACAGAUUAUUAUUUCAGAAAUGUCCGUUUACAUGAUUAUGGUGUUAUUUUAAGUGCUUAUGGUGUUGGCUAUUUACCGGCGACCGACGAGUAUAAAGUUAUUGUAAAAUAUUCUUAUUAUAAUAAUGAGGAGGAUGAGGAUGAGGAUGAGGAUGAUGAGGAGGACGGUUUAAGUUUCGAGAUCAUCUCAUCAAAAGAUCAGAGUUGGAGAAGAAUUAGAGGCCCCGAGGAUGAGCACUUAACUGGCCAGAAGGGGACUCUUGUCAAUGAGGCACUUCAUUGGCUAAAUGGGCCAAAGCCGAGGAAACCAUAUGAAAUAGUUGCUUUUGAUUUCGCCAAGGAAGAGUUUCGGAAAAUGGAGCUGCCUAAUUACGCCCAAGAUGGGAAGGAUUUCAGCUAUCUCGGGGUUUGCGCUGGAGGAUGCUUGUGUGUGUCGCGUUAUCCGUUUCAUGAUUGUGAUUCCAUUGAUUUUUGGGUCAUGACAGAAUAUGGGGUGAGUGAGUCGUGGACUAAGCUCUUUAGCUUGAGGUUUUCAAACCCGGAACGCUUAUGGACAUUGAGGGCAUUCUUGAUCACGGAAAACUAUACAGUUGCCAGGAUAUUUUCUGGAACUUCGUCAACAAUCAUAAGGAUCUCUCAUAAACAAGAAGAAGGAGAAGAAGAGCCUAGUUUUGAUAUAUUUCACAAUGCCCUUUGGUCUGACGUAAUUGAAUAUGAGGAGAGCCUAGUUUCAGUCAGUGGUUACAAUGGGUUUUGAAACCCAUCACAUUGCCGCACAAAGCUCAAUAGGAAGAGGAAUGUUCGCUCUCUGCAUACAAGUGCUGGUUAGGUAGCUCUCACUUUUACUCUAGUUUCAUGCAUUUGAAUAGUAUUUCUGUAUAUUCUGUUGAAACUACUGAACCAGUUAUUAGUAUUUCUGUAAGCCAGUUGAGUUCCUUGUACAUCUUAGAAUGCUUUGUAUGCUCAAUGAUUGGUUUGCUUUGCUUGACCAGUGUUUAUUCGUUGGAAAUUUUUCCAAAUACUCUGCUUUCUUCUAACAGUCGAUUUAUCUAUUUAACUUUGAUGCCUAGGGUACUUUGUGGUUGCUAGAGACUAGAGAGACGGUCUUCUAAGUAUAUGUAUGUGGCAUGUACAAUGAGGUUUACAAUUUAGAAGGCAUAAAAGAUGUACUAAUAUCUGUUUUGGGCAUCAUAGGAUAUGUGUUCCUUUUCUUAAAGAUAUUGGAAAUGUGUAUAUGAUUGAAAAGUCUGGUAGGUUUACCUCUGUUUGUGAUACUGAAGAGGUUGCGGAGUUGAUUUGUUCUUUACCUUUUGUUUUCUUGGUUUAUGUUCUUCCUAAUGUUUCAUACAGUAUGAGAAUGCCUGCCAGGACACUCAAUAGAUUGAACUUGUUAGUCAUGUUUUGUUAUGUUGUGCACAGCAACUAUUGGAUCUGCCAGUACAUAUUGGUGACUAGUUUGAGUAACUCUCAUUCUAAUUUGUGCUCAAUAAACGUUUGUUAGUCUUGUAAGUUUGAGUUUGAUACUUCAAGUGGCUGCAAGUCCGCAUAAACUUUACUUUCUGUUAAGGCUGAGUAGAUGGAACUUAACUUGCAGUAUGUCAACUUCCUCUUUUUUCUACAUUAAUACAUCUCACUAUGCAUAAAGUGAUUAUGUUAAUGCAAAGUUGGUUAAUGAGUGAGAAACAAUGUCACCAACAAAAGGAAUGUGUAAACUGUAUUUUCUAUACUAGACAUAUAAUGUAAGGACCAAGUAGGUCGGUAUGAAAUUACUUUCUACUUCCUGAUUCGUAACAGCUUGAGAUUACCUCAAUACAUUAAUUUAUGGUUUCAAUUUGGCUUUAUUUUAAGUUAUGGAUUCAAUUUGGCUUUAUUUUAAUUUAUGGAUUCAAUUUGGCUUUAUUUUGUGUAAACUGGAGUUUCUAUAGGUCAGACAUCAACAUUGAAAUUAGUUCUAAUUUCCUGAUUCGCAACUGGUCAGUUUCUAGAUUCAGCUUUAUUUUUCUAUGUAGGGUUUAAAUUUUGAGAAUUUCAUUUUAAAUUUAGGUUUCUUGGCUCCUUGAUUUUGUCUAUGAUUUUGAGAAAUGCGUUGUUUUUGCUACCGAAAAGUUAUAGAUUCAUUUUAUGGAGUAUUUUGAUUUUGCUGUAGGUAGUGGAAGCCUAGCUUUGCAUUUGGGACCUUUUAUGUUUGUGAUUACCAACUUGCGUAGAUUUUGGGUUUUGCAUUCUCUCCUAAAUUGGAUGCAAACUAAUUAAAUUGGACUUGCAAAUAAUUAGUUGAUUGAUUUUAUACUGUCAGAUAAGUAGAAUAAUAGGACUCGUGACAAUGCAUGUUGUGUUUAAAGAUAUACUUCAGGUUCUAGUUAUGAACUUGCAAUCAAGACAUUUGAGGAAAACUUCAGGUUAUAGCUAAGAAGAAAUGUGAUGCGCCAGGGUUCAUCUAGCUGAUGCCUAGUUGUGCUUGAUCAUUGACUCAUUGGCUUUUAUGGAUUGUUCCACAGAUGAUUAAUUGUGUUCUUUCCUUCAUUUUGUAGGGAUUUCUGGAUGUUAAAUAGCAUGAGUAAGCUUAUUGGGGACUUCUUGAUGUUGUUUUGGUGUGGAGCAGAUGAAGUGGAUGCAAUUUCACUGAUAAUGAGAUUCCUCUAAAUUAAUUCUGGUUUUCAAAGCUAGCAAUAUAUCUAUGUCUAUGGCUGCAAGCCUUCAACUCUGUUGAUACAUAUACAUUUUUCCUUUAAAUGUAUUGAUGUCUAUUGGCUAGAGUUUUAGUGUUAUGCAAUUAGAUGUAUGAUUAUAUUCUGUGUUCAACUGUUAAUCCGACUUAUUUGUAAAAUCUAAUCCGUUUAAUUAAGGAAAUUUAUGGGUGAUAUAUACUCAAUGUGUAUUUUAGAGCAGGCCUCAUCAUUUGGCCCUUCAGCCCUAACCCGCCCUAAUUGACCCUCCUAUUUACUUCUCAAAUAGGGUAAAGCAAGGGUCAUGUAAAUGAAACCCGGUCUUAUCAUACGGCUUUAUCCUAUUAAGCCUUUUAGAGCCGAACCCGGCCCGGCCUUAAAAGCCCGUCCUUUUGGCUUUAAUAAAUUCUUUUUUUUUAUUGUUUUAAUAUGUUUCUUAUAUUUUAGAUACAAUACAAUUAAUCUCCUUUUUUGAAAUUGAUUUUGCUAGCUUUAUUUAUUUGAUUUUAUUUUGUUUUGUUGAAUAACGAUUGUAUUUUAAUGAUUUAGAGAGAUAGUUCGUGAGAUAUAUGAGUAUAACCACUUAGAUUAAUGUUCAUAGAUAAAUGUCUUAAGUUAAGUAUAAUGUAUAUGCAUGUAUGUUAAGAGAAUUUUAAAUACACACCCCUAAUAUCUUAAUACACACCCCUUACUUAAUACACUACCUAUCAAGUUUUUCAUUUCAAUAUUAUACUUAAUACACAUCUCAGACUGUCUAAAAUGCCCUUAAUUUAUGAAAUAUUCCGUUAUUUAAUAUAAUUAAUAUAUAUUUACUAUUUGGUACCUCUUUUUACAUAUUAUUUCGUCUAAUUUUUGCUAGAAAUUUUUGGUUAUUAUCGUUCAAUUUAUAAUCAAAUGAUUAUUGUUAUAUCUCAACUCUAAAUCACCAAUACAAGUUUUCAAAAUUCACAAGAGCACAACUGUAGAAGUACAGUAGCUAUUAAACAUAGAUAGCUAGUUAUUCGAUAAAACAUGUCAUGAUAAAGAUGCAGUAUUUGACAAUAUGAUAUGCAAGAUACAAACUAAAGNNNNNNNNNNNNNNNNNNNNAAUCUCAACAGAAACAUAAAAUAGUAAGGGUAUGUAUUAAGAGAUUAGAGGUGUGUAUUUAAAAUUUCUCGUAUGUUAAAUAUGACUAAAAAUAAGUAAUAUAAUACUUGAGCUGAAUUGUAAGAAGAAAAAGAAAAAAAAAAAAACUAACAUCUCGUCUUUAUUUAGCCAUAUUUAAACCGUAACGAAAUGAGUCUCUAGAGAAGAUAAAUGUUUACAUAUUUAAAUAUCGGCCCUACCCUAUUUGGUCCUAAAUUUUGUUGACUUUGAUCGAGCUAUACCCGGUUCUACUUUAAACCCUAAAAUUAGGGUCGGACCAGCCCAAGCCCGGCCAUGAUGACCCCUACUUUAGAGUUAACAGCUGGGGUUUGGUGGGAGAUUGAGAUGCAAGUAAGAGGCUGAAACUUUAAAGAUCUCAACCAGUUUGUUUAUGGUGGGUUUGGGAUUAAGUUUCUGUUUCUGUUCGUGUCAGUUUUCAUGGUUUUUCUGUAACUUUUUACUUGUUUUAUGAACAAAGAUAACAGUGACACCUCCAAAGAGGGCGGCUCGUUUCGGGGCGGUUUGUUUAUUGGGCCGGGCUUGUCAGCCCAAAACAACAAAUAAGCGAAACACGGCGCCGAGUAAAUUAACCGUCUGAGAGUGUAAAACCCUACUCUACAUGUUUGGUAGGCAGCAAUGGCGGAAGCUUGUAUCCAAAAGAAAGCAAUGGCGGAAGCAAACCUUCCCGAAGAGAUUAUAGUGAAUAUCAUUUCUAGGCUGCCAGUGAAAUCCUUGCUCCGAUUCACGGCCGUCUCAAAGCGGUGGCGCUCAAUCAUAUUGUUCGACAAACAAUUCGAAAAUGAGCUUCGGAGGUACAAAACCCUCACUCGCAGACUGCUGAUGUGCUCAUGGCCACCUCAGCUGGAAUAGCUCGACUUGGAAACGACGUCGUUUAGAAAACUGAAUUUCCCUUUCGAUCUAGCCGAUGGCACUGUCCAACUACUGGGCUCCUGCAAUGGUCUGGUAUUUGCAUUUGUAACUAAUCGCAAGGUGUUCUAUGUCUUUAACCCAUUAACUGGAUUCGUGAAGGAGUUACCUAGCACAGAUUAUUAUUUCAGAAAUGUACGUUUACAUGAUUAUGGUGUUAUUUUAAGUGCUAAUGGUGUUGGCUAUUUGCCGGCGACGGACGAGUAUAAAGUUAUUGUAAGCUAUAUUAUACGUAAUAAUGAGGAGGAUGAUGAAGAGGAUGAUGAGGAGAACGGUUUAAUCUUUGAUGAUGAAGAUGAUGAUGA